AUUUAAAUAGUUUAAUAAAAAUAUUAAUUUGUGGAAUUAAUGAUAUAACUUGGGUUAUUUUAAAUU
rnacentral:tRNA from 1 species